CCGAGCAGUUCUCCCGAAUAUAUCAAAAGCAGGAGAGUUUGAAGGACCAGUUACUACCAGAUCUUACGAAAGUUUCUGCUGUUGAUUUCGUCUGCGCUAAUUCUGGCUUGCAACGAGUUCCAAGGAAUAUAUUCCUAUUCGUUUCCGACAAGGUUUGAAGGAAUAUAAUGUCAAAAUUCCUUUGAGUGACUCUCAUAUGGAGGCGUAUUUUCUACUUUAUUGUAAGGCGCAAAAGGCAUUUUUUCAAGGAGUGUAUGGGCGUAUUCGAAAACGUCAAAGUACAAAGAUUCGGUCAUUGAUUUCCAAACCGCAAAAGAAGAAAAAUUGUAACUUGCGCAAUCUAGCUGAAAACUAGCAUCUAACCGUGGUUGGCCACAUUUGGCAUUACAAUCUAUGUUUAGGCCUCCGCCUAAAUAGAUUAGAAAGAGGACACCCCUAAUGUUUAACAUUGUGUUAACAUUGCCGCUGUUAACUUUCCCCUCGCUUUCUAUUUGUUUCCGUUAUUGGAAUAGUACUACUUGAAAACAUCUUGGCAGGCUACCGCCAUUAUAAUAAAAAACUGUUCACUUACUUCUUUUGCGAGCAUCCAGAGAAGAGGACGUGAUCCAGCCACCAUACUACAGCGUAUUCAAAGCACCAAAUUGAUCGCCAACCACUGAGCUCUUAAGAACAAAGAAGCAUUGAAUUUGUUACGGAAGACGUAUCUUUGAGGAGAAAAAGUGACCACAAACCUCUGGAUAACUUGUGCGCACAUCCAUACACAUACGAGCCAUCUGUACACACAAAAGAAAACUUCUUCUAUUAAGAUUUUAAAGGAGAUGACUCGCUACACUACCAUGCGUAAACAGGCUGAGGCAAGGAAAUAUCCGCUAACAUGCAGGCUGUGUGGUAGCAAGCAUCCGAUUCGACUGUGCCCAGUGUUUCGGUCCAAAUCGCUGGAGG
rnacentral:misc_RNA from 1 species